rnacentral:rRNA from 1 species
AUUGAACGCUGGCGGCAGGCCUAACACAUGCAAGUCGAGCGGAUGAAGGGAGCUUGCUCCUGGAUUCAGCGGCGGACGGGUGAGUAAUGCCUAGGAAUCUGCCUGGUAGUGGGGGAUAACGUCCGGAAACGGGCGCUAAUACCGCAUACGUCCUGAGGGAGAAAGUGGGGGAUCUUCGGACCUCACGCUAUCAGAUGAGCCUAGGUCGGAUUAGCUAGUUGGUGGGGUAAAGGCCUACCAAGGCGACGAUCCGUAACUGGUCUGAGAGGAUGAUCAGUCACACUGGAACUAAGACACGGUCCAGACUCCUACGGGAGGCAGCAGUGGGGAAUAUUGGACAUUUGGCGAAAGCCUGAUCCAGCCAAGCCUCGUGUGUGAAGAAGGUCUUCGGAUUGUAAAGCACUUUAAGUUGGGAGGAAGGGCAGUAAGUUAAUACCUUGCUGUUUUGACGUUACCAACAGAAUAAGCACCGGCUAACUUCGUG